rnacentral:misc_RNA from 1 species
GAACAUUGAGGACAUGCUUGAAGGAUUCGUAGCAUUCUAUCACAGCACAUUUCAUGUAUUCAUCAGCACAAAUGCGUUUCCAGAGAUCAGCAUCCUUUGACCGAAACUGAGCUGCCAUAUCCAAAGCUAUUGGGAUCUUGCUUGCUAGCAGAAAGGGAGGCCACUGAAUUAAUUUGAGGCUAGGAUCUGAUGAAUAAGGAACUAGC